UACGAAGGGGGCUAGCGUUGUUCGGAAUUACUGGGCGUAAAGCGCGCGCAGGCGGUUCUUCAAGUCAGAGGUGAAAGCCCAGAGCUCAACUCUGGAAUGGCCUUUGAGACUAGAGAACUAGGGUACGGGAGAGGUGAGUGGAAUUCCGAGUGUAGAGGUGAAAUUCGUAGAUAUCUGGAGGAACACCGGUGGCGAAGGCGGCGUCCUGGACCAACACUGACACUGAGGAGCGAAAGCCAGGGGAGCAAACGGGAGU
rnacentral:rRNA from 1 species